AUUGUUUGACAUGGCUUUAUGCAACUUUUGGCCAAUUUCUGAAGGGUUAAAGGAGUUUUUGCCAAUAUCAUUUAACAACGCGCGCAAUCCUAUCCCAUAAGGUAUAACGACACAGAGAGAAGGGAAAUCGCGGAAGCUCCUUCAUCUCUCCGACUCGGUGAGGCCAAUGGCAAAAGCAUAACUCUGAUUGCUGUGACGUAUUUAAUCCGAGGAUGACAGAAAGCGAAGACAGGAGGGUCAGCAGAAGGCAAAGCAGGUUGAAGAGAGACCCUGAAGAUCAAUGCGAAAACUUGAACCAGAAAUGUCUGAAGAUGGAUAAUCCAGCAAAUGAUGUCAAUAAGAAUGAUACUAAAACUGGUCGUCUUCCAUUUAUUUUUAAGCAUUCCUAUUCGGGGGAAGAAAAAUGCACCAUAAUGGAAGGGUGUAAAUUUAUCACCGGGGAGAAGGGAUUACUUUUAAGAAUUGAACCUUUGGAUAAAGAUGAACUAGAGAAGCUAGAGACCCCUGAAGAAAAGCAUGCAAAGGAGAAACUGAUAGCGAGGCAGUGUAAGAGCUAUGCUAAGGCUGCAUUAGCCCAUUACAAUCGCCAAGAGGAUCGGACUCGAGGAACCGAGGAGCGCAGCAGUGAGUCAGCUACUUCAGAGUUAGAUCAGAGUCAGCCAGAGGAUGUGGAUUUUGAGCUUGUGAAGGUUCUAAAUUGCAAAACAUCUUGUGAUUUUGGCCUUUGGCAUCAUAUCAACUUCGAGGCCAAACCCAGAAAUUUCAAAUGCUCACCGAAGCUCUUUUUUGCUGAAUUGUAUGGAAAUGCUUUAUGUGUCACCUGCUGCUGUAUGCUGAAACCUAAGGGCUCUGAUGCCAGCUCCCUGAAGGGUUGUUAUUUUUGCCGUUCCCUCAUUCAUCAUCCUGCUAGUGGAUUUCGUGCUGGCACUGACAGUCCCCUCAGGUUUGGCAAGUAUGGCGGAAUUCCUGUUAAUCGCUGCACAUCCUCAAAGGAUUUAUUUUAGAUGCCAGCUCCCUGAAAGGUUGUUAUUUUUGCCGUUCGGAUUUCGUGCUGGCACCGAUAGUCCCCUCAGGUUUGGCAAGUAUGACGGAAUUCCUGUUAAUUGCGGCACAUCCUCAAAGCCUUUGUAAUGGUUUUUGCUUCUGUGCUUAAACUUUAGUAUACAACUUAUGUUUGGUAAUCAUCUCUGAAUUUACACCGGAAAAAGUCACUUUGUAAUGUCCUGUCUAAAUACGUGUUAGCAAAUUUGUGAGAAAAAAAUUAUUAUUAGCCA